UUAGAGGAUUUGAUCCUGGUCCAGGAUGAACGCUGGCGGCGUGGAUAAGGCAUGCAAGUCGAGCGGUCGUUUGACGAACGAUAGCGGCGAACGAGUUAGUAACACCUUGGUACCUACCCCAGAGCCGGGCAUAGCCAGCCGAAAGGUUGGGUAAUUCCCGAUGGUCUCGCAAGAGUAAAGACGCAAGUCACUCUGGGAUGGACCUAGGUCUGAUCAGCUUGUUGGUAGGGUAACGGCCUACCAAGGCUAUGACCAGUAGGGGGGGUGAGAGCCCGAUCCCCAACGAGGAAACUGAGACACGGUUCCUACUCCUACGGGAGGCAGCAGUCAAGAACAUUCGACAAUGGGCGAAAGCCUGAUCGAGCGACGCCGCGUGCAGGAUGAAGCAUCUCGGUGUGUAAACUGCUUUUCCACCGGAGAAAGUCGCAAGACUGAUAGUACGGUGGGAAUAAGUGGCUGCAAACUUCGUGCCAGCAGCCGCGGUAAUACGAAGGCCACAAGCGUUAUCCGGAUUUAUUGGGCGUAAAGGGCGCGUAGGGGGCUUGGUAAGUCUGUGGUUAAAUUUCGGGGCUUAACUCCGGAGCUGCCUCGGAAACUACCAGGCUAGAGGACGUUAGAGGUAGAUGGAACGCACGGUGUAGGGGUGAAAUCCGUUGAUAUCGUGCGGAACACCAAAGGCGAAGGCAUUCUACUGGGACGUUCCUGACCCUGAGGCGCGAAAGCGUGGGGAGCAAAAAGGAUUAGAUACCCUUGUAGUCCACGCCCUAAACGAUGCUGACUAGCUGUCUCGAGUAUCGACCCUCGGGGUGGCGUAGCUAACGCGUUAAGUCAGCCGCCUGGGAAGUACGAGCGCAAGCUUAAAACUUAAAGAAAUAGGCGGGAAUUCGCACAAGCGGUGGAUCAUGUGGUUUAAUUCGACACUGAGCGAAGAACCUCACCAAGGCUUGAAAUCCUAGUGUAAGCUCCGGGAAACCGGGGCCCCCGCAAGGCUCUAGGACAGGUGCUGCACGGCUAUACGGUCGUCAGCUCGUCUCGUGAGAGGUUUCCUUAAGUGGAUUAACGAGCGCAACCCCUAUCGUCUGUUAUAUUUGUCAGGCGAGACUGCUUUCGUAAGGAAGAGGAAGGUGGGGAUGACGUCAAGUCAGCGUGGCCCUCUGAUGUCUUGGGCUACACACAUGAUACAAUGGAUGUUACAAUGGGUUGCCAACCCGCGAGGGGGAGCUAAUCCCAUCAAAGGCAUCCUCAGUUCGGAUAGGAGGCUGAAACUUGCCUCCUUGAAGCCGGAAUCGCUAGUAAUCGCAGAUCAGAACGCUGCGGUGAAUACGUUCUCGAAUUUUGCACUCACAAUAAAAGCGCUCGGCAGGGCCCGUCAAGUCAAGGGAGCUGGGAAUACCUGAAGAUCCGUAUUUUUAUAUGGAGACACGGUAGGCUCAGUGACAAGGACUAAGUCGUAACAAGGCAAGGGUAGCGGAAGCUGCUCUUGGAUCACCUCCUU
rnacentral:rRNA from 1 species